AGGGCAGGUAGGGGGUGGCAGCAGAGGGACUCAAAUGUUCAGCAGCUACAGCUAGUACGGUUUCUUCAGGGGGAAGUCGAAGGAAACAAGAGCUGCAUGCCUACUAAUACGGAAUGCACGGUUUCCUCCUUCCGGCGGGGGUAGUAUUGUACUAUUGUACCAUCGGCACGGCCUCACUUGGCCAUCAUCACCUUGACGAACUCCUCGUAGUUGAUCUGGCCGUCGCCAUCGACGUCCGCCUCGCGGAUCAUCUCGUCGACCUCCUCGUCGGUCAGCUUCUCGCCGAGGUUGGUCAUCACGUGGCGGAGCUCCGCGGCGGAGAUGAAGCCGUUCUGGUCCUUGUCGAACACCCUGAACGCCUCCUUGAGCUCCUCCUCGGAGUCUGUGUCCUUCAUCUUGCGGGCCAUGAGGUUGAGGAACUCGGGGAAGUCGAUGGUGCCGUUGCCAUCGGCGUCGACCUCGUUGAUCAUGUCCUGGAGCUCAGCCUCGGUCGGGUUCUGACCAAGGGAGCGCAUGACAGUUCCCAGCUCCUUGGUUGUGAUGCAACCUGUCCGAUGCACAACAGAGAACAAUUUGAGAUCAAUUUAUAUAACAUGAACUAGUAAGAAGUCAAUAAUUAACCAGCUUGAAUAGUUAACACACUUUUGCUCAAAAUGACAGCAUAAGUAAACCAGCCAUUAAGCAAGCAUGCCAGAAGCAAUAAACAUCUUCCCAGAAAAAAGGACAACGCUAAUUCAAAAUCAUUGGACAGAGAUGUAGCUAACUGUUUAAAAGGUUGAUGGUCAGCUCCAACCUUGGAAGGUGCCACCAAACCAAAUUAAUACUAAAUUUGGAACCUCCUAAGAUAUAAUUUUGGAGUACCUCCUAAGAUAUAAUUCAAAAUCAGUGUUUGAUUCAAGUAAACAAGAUUUUCUUGAUAUCAGAAGCUUAUCCUUAUUAAAUGGGUUUCUUCAAGUGUACUUCAUACCUACAUGCUGAGUACCACAAUCUAAAACACAUCACAAUCGUCACGCCAAAAACAUGGUGAUAUACGCGAAAUCAUGGAGUUCUAAUACGAACCCAAAACAACACAUUACGGAACCAAAAUCUGAGCAGGCCCGAUGACUCUAACAGCUCUAUCCUUGGAGUUAUGGCCCCAGCCUACACUACUAAUCUGAGGGUAAAUCAUCCCAUGGUUAAUUCGGCCCUGUGAAAAAUUUGCAGCCCACAGUUACAACCGUACAAGAACGCAUAAAUGUCAGUCAAGAAGUGAGGCGGUGUGCAUUCAAAUGGUACUACACAGGUCUCAUGUGCCCCCUGCCUGCCAUGACCAAACCAACCCCUACAUAACCGACCGAUCUGGACGAAGGCUACCUACCGCCUACAAAUAAAACGACCCCAGCCUGACUCGGUCCACGGCAAAGGGCCGGAUCUAUAGCCUAACUGCUUCGCCACAUCUGGAUCCGAGACGAGGCCACGAGCAAUCACAUCGAUCUGGAAAUUGGAUCCCUACGGCGCUUUUCCCAGCAUGAGUUUUAUGAACCGCACGAGAUCUCUCCACCCACGCGGAAUCAAACAGCGAAGACGUGCCGCCGCAUCACACCACGCUGCUACGGGUUCACCGCUCGGUAGAAUCUCGCUACCGGCGGCUCUGGACGGGGUAAAAUUCUAUGCGCACACGCACAACCGGGCAGUUCCUUUUAACAUUCUGCACCCAGACCACGAACAAGGAUGUAAUCCACGGGUUUCUAACGGAACAUGAAGAUCAGACAAGCUCUUCCGCAGCUACGACUACGAGCCUAUAACAUGGUAGACACACAGAUCACGGCAGUAGGAACUGCAACGAGGAAGGAGAUGCUCGAGAGAGCGACAGGGGGGGAGGCGUGUUAGCUCACCGUCGCCGUCCUUGUCGAAGAGGCUGAAAGCCUCCUUGAACUCAGCGAUCUGGUCGUCGGUGAGCUGGUCCGCCAUGGUCUCCGGGGCUUCUCUCUCCGCGCGGCGAGGCGAGGCGAGGCGAGGGAGCGGUGUCGGGCUGGCCGGAGAGAUUAGGGAGG
rnacentral:lncRNA from 1 species